rnacentral:lncRNA from 1 species
GCACCCCUCCCCCCUCAGACCCCCUCCUCUCUAUCAUCUCUAACCUUCAAAUACCGAACCCUACGCCGCCCUAUUUUGACACCGAAAACCUUCUCAUGGCGGUUUCGGUGGGCCAAACACCUCCAUUUUUAGACCACUGAUUCUCCUUGACCUCCGCAUUCUGAAUCCCUAACCCUUAUCCCUCGAAUACCAGCCGUUUUCUUUGAGUAUUAGAUAAAAAAUUGGACUGGAACCCUAGUUCGUCUAAUUAACCCCAAAUUAAUACCACUUGACCACCCAACCUCCCUUGUCCUUAAUCUAAAACCACUUUCAUUCGAAUCGAGCUGGAACUUUUCAAAUUUUAAUUCGAAUGAACGAUCCAUAUAAAACCAAACUCCAGUUUUAAUGCAAAUUGGACAAAAUUGAGGUUUCAAUCAACCUUAGUCGUAUGUUCUUAGUCGAGAAUAUUUGAUUAAGGUUCAUUUCAAUCUCAAAUCCAAAAUGGGAGUUCGAGUUCAAAGUUAAGGUGCCAAGGUUGAUUCCUAGUUUAUUCGGUGUGUGUUGUUAUUUGUUUUAUGUUUAUGUUCAGUAUUAUUUUAAUUACUAUCUCCCUCAGCUAUUUUUCGUGGAAUUAGGUCCAGAAUUAAUGGAUUGGCCAGAUUAGUUCUGCAUUAUGUGUCGAUUUGUACAUAUGUGAAUUAUGUUCCAAACCUCUUUCAUUUUGAAUAAAUUCAAGGUUUAGUGCAUUCCAUGUGUAGUUAGUCUUUCACUUCAACCUAGUGGAUGUUUCCGAUAAAUGAAUCCUUCAUCCUUGUUUCAAUUCCAUUCGGCUUGGUUUAGGUUUGAGUACAAACUGUUAUUGAAUUUGACGAUUUGAAGCAUGAUAAUAUUCUAUUGAGUUUGAUGUUUAUUAUCAAUAUGACUUUGGUUUAUAUCCAGCCUUAGUGUUCCAGUGAUUAGUUAGGAAUUAGUUUAGUCAAUUGUUAGUUUUCCUCAUUAGAUGAAUUGGCUAUAGCUGAUAGGGUAGGGCAGUGAAUCACAGGGGUUUCGGGGGUAAUUUGGGAUUCACAACUUGAAAGGGUUGUGGUCUGUCAGUAAGUACUAAUAUAUCAUUAAACUAAUGCAUUUGUUUAAUAAUAGUGGGAAACAAAACAUAAUAGUAUGGGGAAGUCUAAUGGGAGUAAUUAAAAAGUAAGUCACCUAUAACCCUUGAACAAAAACAAUGAAAUAAGACAUAUAGUAGUGUGGAGUUUAGGGAGUAGUAUGGGAGGAAAUCUUUUCUUAUUUGUUUGUUAAGUGCUGGACAGAUGAGUGGGGUUUUGGGUAUAAAUGAGAGGCAUUUAGGACAUAGAGAGUGGGGUCCUUGAAUCGAUAUGAGAGAGAAUUUGUUUUUGAACAUUGAGGUCAGUUUUUUAAAGCAAUCGGAUAUAGCCUGAAAGCACUGGAAAACAGACCUGGAAUCAGUUCUUAGAGAUCAGUUUUUGAGAGUUCCUUUUCUUUUAGAGCUUGAAAAAAAAACUUGAAAGAUACUAGGAUUCCAAUUUUCAAACCUACCUUUCCAUUGAACCUUGAAAAGAAUUUCAGUUCUAAUUAUCAAGAUACAUUUUUGAGUUCAGCUUCUGGUUGCUGGAUUCUAGGGGUGUUUCUGAUUGUAUUCCCAUUGGUAUUUGGUUUCAAUUGAACUUUUUUGGGGUCAAUUAUUGGUUACUGUGAUUCUGUGUAUUGUUGGGUUUCAUUUUGGUCUAUUUGGGUGUUGUGUUGUCUAUUUUAAACUGUUCCAUUGUUGCUACUAGUAUUACUGUUGCUACUGAUCCUCUUCCUCUUCAUUUUAUUUUACAUCUCCAGGUACGCAUUUGAGACUAUGUUGAUGUGGCUUCAUCUAUUGAAAAUGAAAUGAUAUUGAGGCUGAUGCUACACUACGGAUUUGUCGUUUAAAAGUUCUGUUAUUUUAAACAGUUUUCUUCUGUGAUUCGUUUAGUUGUUUGCUGUAAUUAAACUUGAAUUGUAUGACUGGACUGGACAUUGGCUUGAAUAAUAGAUGUUACUUAUGUUUUAUGGACUGAAAUUUGGAUCUCUGUAGUAGGGUGGUUGUACUGGGCUGCACCAAGCUGUGUGAAUCAUUCGAAUUGGUCAUAGUUGAUUUGGUUGUUAAUGCAAAUAUAGGUUGAUGAAUCUUCACGUAGUAGGGUGGUUGUACUAGGCUGCACAAAGCUGUGUGAAUCAUUCGAAUUGGUCAUAGUUGAUUUGGUUGUUAAUGCAAAUAUAGGUUGAUGAAUCUUCACCUAAAUCUAAAGCUCGUAGUAAUUAAUUGUUACUGGCCUUUAUCUUGCAACGUUAGAACUAGCCGUAAAAUAUAUCAAUCAACCACUUAGUUAAUUGUAGCCUUUCCUACGAAUGAUAGUUUAUUCACAACCUCACAUGAUUAAUUACCCUAAAACACCAAUUAAUAUGGUAGUUUGAAGUGGUAUUUGCGAGUUAGUGCUAGGGUGUUAGUAGAAAUCAGAAUGUGCACGUCUGCUGAAUUAGUCCAUUAAAUUUGAUAGUUUCAUUUAGCUAGAAGGGCUUUAAUUUGAUCAACACUUUGAAU